rnacentral:rRNA from 1 species
UACGGGGGGGGCAAGCGUUGUUCGGAAUUACUGGGCGUAAAGGGCGCGUAGGCGGCCAUCUAAGUCAGACGUGAAAUCCCUCGGCUCAACCGAGGAACUGCGUCUGAUACUGGAAGGCUUGAAUCCGGGAGAGGGAUGUGGAAUUCCAGGUGUAGCGGUGAAAUGCGUAGAUAUCUGGAGGAACACCGGUGGCGAAGGCGGCAUCCUGGACCAAUACUGACGCUGAGGAGCGAAAGCCAGGGGAGCAAACGGG